AUCCCGCCCCCCCUCUCCUCUCUUCCUCUCUCCUCUUCCCCUUUCUCCUGCACCAACCCCUUCAGAGGGAUGUGCAGAACAAAUGCCCUGCUCUGUUCCUCCCUCCUCACUUCCCCAGCUAUCUCCUGUCUCACUCUUUCUCUGUCUGUCUCUUGUUCUGUCAUUCAUUCUUCGUCUUUCUCUGUGCGGUCUGUUAGGAGUAUUCCUCUCCAUCUCUCAUUUUUCUGUCUCUUCUUCUCCUCAUCCAUCCGUCAGUCCGUCUCUGUUUCUCAGACCAACAUGCUUUCCGUAGCUCUGUCUGGUGUGCUGGAUGUCUGUUUAGAAGAUGCCAUUCAGGCCGCUCUAAUAGUUUUUUCUUUUAUUUUUGUCCUGUUUUCCCUCCUCGUUCCGUAGUUUAGUGGUGUCUGCCUAGUCCGUGCUUUUAUUUUUUUGUUUCCUUCCUCCCGGGUUGUGGGACCAGGUCACGCUGAUCCUCAUCCUUCCACACCCCCUCUGUCCUCCAACAUCCCAAUCACCGAGCCCCACCGCCCCAUCCUCCACCCGCCCACCUUGGCUGUCUGGUGCCCAGGGAUGUCGCAGAGUUAGCCUAGGCCAAAGAGGAAGGGAGGAGAGAGAAACGGGUGGGUGGCUGAAGGGAGAGACCUUCACUGUGGGUGUCGCGGUGUUUUAUACACCACCAACACCCAACUCACCCAACAGCUGCAGGUCACAAAGGCUUCUAUGUAAGAAGGAUUUUCAAGGACCACAAGGACUUCUCAGGCCCACAUGUAAUUUAUUAAAAACCGUUAUACAGUAAUACAAUGCUAGAUUUGCUUUGGAUAAUCCUUCUUCCUGUGAUUCUUCCUUAGAUUUUAACAAUUCCUAGAGGCUGAGUUUCCCUAAAGCAGAACAACUUCUAAUAAACGUUUUUGAAAGAAGAGACCAGAGCCUCAGUGCUUUGCUCAUAAAAGGAGCAAAACAAUUGGCCAGCUUCACUCUCACUUUCAUUUUCUGCUAAUUUAGUGUGCUAUGCUACACUUCUUCAGCGUUUUAUCAGAAGAAGUUAAAGGUGAACAACCUUUCCUUGAUUGUAAACCUAUUAAAGACCCACUCCAAUCAUCUUUUGACCUAUAUUCAAAGUGUUCACAGCGGUCUUUUAAUUAUGAUUAUGCAGUUUUUAGACCAAGUCAGAACGUUUUCUAUAUUGUGGGCAGGAUUGUUGGUGCAGAGUAAACCUGCACUCAUUUCCCAUCAUGCCUUAGUUUACUACACUGUAAAAAGUCUUCAAGGGGAAUCGUUCAUGUAGCACUAUUUAUUUAAGUACAUUUAUUACAAAAAUGUAGUUAAACACAUUAUUCUGUAUUAAUUAGGUUCUCUAAAAGUAAUUUGUUGCUCAAAAUUGACUAACAACAAAUGAGAUCACUGAACUACAGCACAAUUCUAAUUUCUUAAAACUCAAUUUUAAUAAAUUCAUUCCAACUUAAAUGUAACCAACCUGGACUAGUUUGGACUUGCUCUGCACGUCCUCACAAAGAACUGCUUUUAUGGACUUUGUUGCACAUCGUGCUGGAAUAAAAGGUAUGUAGUGUUUUUUGCGAGUCAUAUUUAUGUUGACUUUAAUAACCUAUGUUGUAAGCCUUAUUAAAAAGCAUUAUUAUUUGGUUCACAUUUAGUUUAUGGUUUUAAAUAUUAGCUUCUCUAAACUCAGUCAGUUACCUUUAGCAGUACAUUAACACUGUGCUUAAUCAAAGAAAUAUAGUUUGUAGAGAUGCUUUUAGUCUUUAUCGUUUCUAAGUUUAGGGUUAAAACAGCAUCAGUGCUCAAAUCAAUAACUAUGUUUUUAUUGUGGAUAGUUUGUAAUUAAGGGUUUCAAAGCUAACCCAAAUACAUGACAGUGAAAGAAGUGUUGAAGACGAAGAUUUAGGAAAAUUAAAAUUAAAAACUUUAAACAAUUGUUGCUAAUCAUGUGAUGCUUGGUCUUUCAGUGAGGUGACUGUGGAGUGGAGGAAUGUCACAGCCGGCAGAGUUUGUUCAGUGCUGAAGCAAAAUAAAAGAAGAGUUGCUGUUCACUGGAACCAUGAUUGAGUUGGAUCGGCACAGCCAAAAACAUCUAAACGUGUUCAGUGACAAAGGGGGAGCAGUGGCCCGGCCAUUCAAAAACCUGAUGGUUUUUAAUUCCCGAAAAUAUUGUGUAAAAAACAUUCAAUUGUUCAUUUGAUGAGAUUUUGCUGUCUUGGUAAUUCACUUUUUCUUGCAUUCAAAACUAAUUAACAUAAACGUCCAUGCACGAGGUGCUGGAGGCAGAAGGAAGAUUUUCCUCUGCCGUGCACCAGAUGCAGCAGGAAGCAUCAGGAGUUCCUGUUCUUACAAACAUUUUUGAAGGGCCUGCUGUUUGCUGGUUUGGGAUCCACCAAGACUAAAAUAAUCUGUGAAGUUUUUCAAAGGCUAUUGUUCUCUCUAAAUUCUCCCUGUUUUUUGUGUUUUUGUUUAAAUGUUGACAAUUUGACUGAAUUAUGUUAUGACUAAAUUUUAGAGUACUUUUACAAUCAUAACUCUGCAAACUGAAUAAAUCCUUUCAAAAUAAAAGA